AUUGAACGCUGGCGGAAUGCUUUACACAUGCAAGUCGAACGGUAGAGGGGGCAACCCCUCGAGAGUGGCGAACGGGUGAGUAAUAUAUCGGAACGCGCCCAGUCGUGGGGGAUAACGUAGCGAAAGUUACGCUAAUACCGCACACGAUCUAAGGAUGAAAGCGGGGGAUCGCAAGACCUCGCGUGAUUGGAGCGGCCGAUAUCAGAUUAGGUAGUUGGUGGGGUAAAGGCUCACCAAGCCAACGAUCUGUAGCUGGUCUGAGAGGACGACCAGCCACACUGGAACUGAGACACGGUCCAGACUCCUACGGGAGGCAGCAGUGGGGAAUUUUGGACAAUGGACGCAAGUCUGAUCCAGCCAUUCCGCGUGCAGGAUGAAGGCCCUCGGGUUGUAAACUGCUUUUGUACGGAACGAAAAGGUCUCUCUUAAUACGGGGGGCUCAUGACGGUACCGUAAGAAUAAGCACCGGCUAACUACGUGCCAGCCGCCGCAGUAA
rnacentral:rRNA from 1 species